rnacentral:rRNA from 1 species
GGCAUUGGAUACUGGCAAGCUAGAGUGCAGGAGAGGCAAGGGGAAUUCCUAGUGUAGCGGUGAAAUGCGUAGAUAUUAGGAGGAACACCAGUGGCGUAAGCGCCUUGCUGGACUGUAACUGACGCUGAGGGACGAAAGCCAGGGGAGCAAAUGGGAUUAGAUACCCCAGUAGUCCUGGCCGUAAACGAUGGAUACUAGGUGUCGCGGGUAUCGACCCCUGCGGUGCUGCAGCUAACGCAAUAAGUAUCCCGCCUGGGGAGUACGCACGCAAGUGUGAAACUCAAAGGAAUUGACGGGGACCCGCACAAGCGGUGGAACAUGUGGUUUAAUUCGAAGCAACGCGAAGAACCUUACCAGGGCUUGACAUCCCGAGAACUUUCCAGAGAUGGAUUGGUGCCCUUCGGGGAACUCGGUGACAGGUGGUGCACGGUUGUCGUUAGCUCGUGUCGUGAGAUGUUGGGUUAAGUCCCGCAACGAGCGCAACCCUCGUUGUUAGUUGCCAGUAAGAGCCUGCUCUUGCUGUGCUCUCUAGCGAGACUGCCGGUGAUAAACCGGAGGAAGGUGGGGACGACGUCAAAUCAUCAUGCCCCUUAUGUCCUGGGCUACACACGUGUUACAAUGGGUUGGACAGCGAGCAGCCAACCAGCAAUGGUGAGCAAAUCUCUUAAACCUACUCUCAGCUCGGAUCGCAGUCUGCAACUCGACUGCGGAAGUCGGAAUC